rnacentral:piRNA from 1 species
UGACUGCUUGUUGGAUCUAUGGUUC